rnacentral:rRNA from 1 species
UAAUACGAAGGUGGCAAGCGUUGUUCGGAUUCACUGGGCGUACAGGGAGCGUAGGCGGUUGGGUAAGCCCUCCGUGAAAUCUCCAGGCUUAACCUGGAAAGUGCAGAGGGGACUGCUCAGCUAGAGGAUGGGAGAGGAGCGCGGAAUUCCCGGUGUAGCGGUGAAAUGCGUAGAGAUCGGGAGGAAGGCCGGUGGCGAAGGCGGCGCUCUGGAACAUUUCUGACGCUGAGGCUCGAAAGCGUGGGGAGCAAACAGGAUUAGAUACCCUGGUAGUCCACGCCUUAAACGAUGAAUACUAAGUGUCGGCGGGUUACCGCCGGUGCCGCAGCUAACGCAGUAAGUAUUCCGCCUGGGAAGUACGGCCGCAAGGUUGAAACUUAAAUGAAUUGACGG